GCCCCGGUGGCGCAGCUGGAUAGCGCAGUCCCCUCCUAAGGGACAGGUCAGAGGUUCAAAUCCUCUUCGGGGCGCCA
rnacentral:tRNA from 1 species